rnacentral:rRNA from 1 species
GUGGGGAAUCUUGCGCAAUGGGCGAAAGCCUGACGCAGCCAUGCCGCGUGAAUGAUGAAGGCCUUAGGGUUGUAAAGCUCUUUCAGCUGGGAAGAUAAUGACGGUACCAGCAGAAGAAGCCCCGGCUAACUCCGUGCCAGCAGCCGCGGUAAUACGGAGGGGGCUAGCGUUGUUCGGAAUUACUGGGCGUAAAGCGCACGUAGGCGGAUCAGAAAGUCAGAGGUGAAAUCCCAGGGCUCAACCUUGGAACUGCCUUUGAAACUCCUGAUCUUGAGGUCGAGAGAGGUGAGUGGAAUUCCGAGUGUAGAGGUGAAAUUCGUAGAUAUUCGGAGGAACACCGGUGGCGAAGGCGGCUCACUGGCUCGAUACUGACGCUGAGGUGCGAAAGCGUGGGGAGCAAACAGGAUUAGAUACCCGGGUAGUCC